rnacentral:rRNA from 1 species
UGGUCAAGUUUUUAAGGGCACACGGUGGAUGCCUUGGCACCAGGAGCCGAUGAAGGACGUAGGAGGCUGCGAUAAGCCUCGGGGAGCUGUCAACCGAGCGUUGAUCCGAGGAUUUCCGAAUGGGGGAACCCCGCACCAGUCAUGUGGUGUGACCCGCGCCUGAACACAUAGGGCGUGUGGAGGGAACGUGGGGAAGUGAAACAUCUCAGUACCCACAGGAAGAGAAAACAACCGUGAUUCCGUGAGUAGUGGCGAGCGAAAGCGGAUGAGGCUAAACCGAUCGCAUGUCAAGCCGGCAGGCGUUGUGUGGUCGGGGUCGUGGGACGAUUCAGUGCCUUCUGCCGAGGGUGCAGGGAGUCAGAAAGUCUUGAUGUUAGUGGAAGGCCUCUGGAAGGGGUCGCCAUAGAGGGUGAGAGCCCCGUACACGAAAACUCAAGGCCUCCCGGAUUGUAUCCCAAGUAGCACCGAGCCCGUGAAAUUCGGUGUGAAUCUGGCGGGACCACCCGCUAAGCCUAAAUACUCCCUGGUGACCGAUAGCGGACAAGUACCGUGAGGGAAAGGUGAAAAGUACCCCGGGAGGGGAGUGAAAUAGUACCUGAAACCGUGUGCCUACAAGCCGUGAGAGCCUUAUGCACCUUCGGGUGUGGGGGUGAUUGCGUGCCUUUUGAAGAAUGAGCCUGCGAGUUAGCGGUACGUGGCGAGGUUAACCCGUGUGGGGUAGCCGUAGCGAAAGCGAGUCCGAACAGGGCGAUCUGAGUCGCGUGCUCUAGACCCGAAGCCGAGUGAUCUACCCAUGGCCAGGUUGAAGCGCGGGUAAGACCGCGUGGAGGACCGAACCCACCAGGGUUGAAAACCUGGGGGAUGAGCUGUGGGUAGGGGUGAAAGGCCAAUCAAACUCGGUGAUAGCUGGUUCUCCCCGAAAUGCAUUUAGGUGCAGCGUCACGUGUUUCUUGCCGGAGGUAGAGCACUGGAUGGUCUAGGGGCCCCACAAGGUUACUGAAAUCAACCAAACUCCGAAUGCCGGUAAGUGAGAGCGUGGCAGUGAGACUGCGGGCGAUAAGGUUCGUAGUCGAGAGGGAAACAGCCCAGAUCAUCAGCUAAGGCCCCUAAGCGUGUGCUAAGUGGAAAAGGAUGUGGAGUCGCAGAGACAACCAGGAGGUUGGCUUAGAAGCAGCCACCCUUGAAAGAGUGCGUAAUAGCUCACUGGUCAAGUGAUUCCGCGCCGACAAUGUAGCGGGGCUCAAGCACACCGCCGAAGCUAUGGCAUUCACAUGUUCCCUGUCGUCACCUUUCGGGGUGCCGGCCAGGUGUGUGGAUGGGUAGGGGAGCGUCGUGUGGGGGUUGAAGCGGCGGAGUGAUCCAGCCGUGGACGCCACACGAGUGAGAAUGCAGGCAUGAGUAGCGAAAGGGGAGUGAGAAACUCCCCCGCCGGAUGACCAAGGGUUCCUGGGCCAGGCUAAUCCGCCCAGGGUGAGUCGGGACCUAAGGCGAGGCCGACAGGCGUAGUCGAUGGACAACGGGUUGAUAUUCCCGUACCCGCGAAAGAACGCCCAUGCUGAACCCAGCGAUGCUGACCGCCUGAAGCUUCCAACUGUCCUUCGGGACUGCGGGGGUGGAACGCGGGACCCGGACUGGUAGUAGGUAAGCGAUGGGGUGACGCAGGAAGGUAGUCCUACCGGUGAGUGGUAGUACCGGUGCAAGGGUGUGGCCCGUGGUGUAGGCAAAUCCGCACCGCAUGAGGGUGAGACCUGACGCAUAGCCGAUUGAGGCGAAUUGGAUGAUCCUAUGCUGCCGAGAAAAGCCUCUAGCGAGUUCUUAGCGGCCCGUACCCCAAACCAACUCAGGUGGUCAGGUAGAGAAUACCAAGGCGAUCGAGCGAACUGUGGUUAAGGAACUCGGCAAAAUGCCCCCGUAACUUCGGGAGAAGGGGGGCCACUUCCUGUCAACACCUUUACGGUGGGCAGCGGGGGGUGGCCGCAGAGACCAGUGAGAAGCGACUGUUUACUAAAAACACAGGUCCGUGCGAAGUCGAAAGACGAUGUAUACGGACUGACGCCUGCCCGGUGCUGGAACGUUAAGGGGACGGGUUAGUCCUUCGGGGCGAAGCUCAGAACUCAAGCGCCAGUAAACGGCGGUGGUAACUAUAACCAUCCUAAGGUAGCGAAAUUCCUUGUCGGGUAAGUUCCGACCUGCACGAAUGGCGUAACGACUUCUCAGCUGUCUCAACCACAGGCUCGGCGAAAUUGCACUACGAGUAAAGAUGCUCGUUACGCGCGGCAGGACGGAAAGACCCCGGGACCUUCACUAUAGCUUGAUAUUGGUGUUCGGUUCGGCUUGUGUAGGAUAGGUGGGAGACUGUGAAGCGGGCACGCCAGUGUUUGUGGAGUCAUCGUUGAAAUACCACUCUGGUCGAAUUGGAUGUCUAACCUCGGUCCGUGAUCCGGAUCAGGGACAGUGUCAGGUGGGUAGUUUAACUGGGGCGGUUGCCUCCCAAAAUGUAACGGAGGCGCCCAAAGGUUCCCUCAGCCUGGUUGGCAAUCAGGUGUCGAGUGCAAGUGCACAAGGGAGCUUGACUGCGAGACCGACGGG